AGACAGGUGCUGCAUGGCUGUCGUCAGCUCGUGCCGUGAGGUGUGGUUAAGUCCCGCAACGAGCGCAACCCUAUUGCCAGUUGCUACCAGGUAAUGCUGGGCACUCUGGUGAGACUGCCCCGUUAACGGGGAGGAAGGUGGGACGACGUCAAGUCAUCAUGGCCCUUACGCCUAGGGCUACACACGUACUACAAUGGCGCAUACAAAGGGCAGCGAUACCGCGAGGUGGAGCCAAUCCCAAAAAGUGCGUCCCAGUCCGGAUUGCAGUCUGCAACUCGACUGCAUGAAGUUGGAAUCGCUAGUAAUUCGAGAUCAGCAUGCUCGGGUGAAUGCGUUCCCGGGCCUU
rnacentral:rRNA from 1 species